rnacentral:rRNA from 1 species
AUUGAACGCUGGCGGCAGGCUUAACACAUGCAAGUCGAGCGGGGUGAUGGUGCUUGCACUAUCACUUAGCGGCGGACGGGUGAGUAAUGCUUAGGAAUCUGCCUAUUAGUGGGGGACAACAUCACGAAAGGGAUGCUAAUACCGCAUACGUCCUACGGGGGAAAGCAGGGGAUCACUUGUGACCUUGCGCUAAUAGGUGAGCAUAAGUCGGAUUAGCUAGUUGGUGGGGUAAAGGCCUACAAAGGCGACGAUCUGUAGCGGGUCUGCGAGGAUGAUCCGCCACACUGGGAUUGAGACACGGCCCAGACUCCUACGGGAGGCAGCAGUGGGGAAUAUUGGACAAUGGGGGGAACCCUGAUCCAGCCAUGCCGCGUGUGUGAAGAAGGCCUUAUGGUUGUAAAGCACUUUAAGCGAGGAGGAGGCUCUUUUGGUUAAUACCCAGAAUGAGUGGACGUUACUCGCAGAAUAAGCACCGGCUAACUCUGUGCCAGCAGCCGCCGUAA